AGUGAACGCUGGCGGUAGGCCUAGCACAUGCAAGUCGAACGGCAGCACAGUAAGAGCUUGCUCUUACGGGUGGCGAGUGGCGGACGGGUGAGGAAUACAUCGGAAUCUACUUUUUCGUGGGGGAUAACGUAGGGAAACUUACGCUAAUACCGCAUACGACCUACGGGUGAAAGCAGGGGAUCUUCGGACCUUGCGCGAUUGAAUGAGCCGAUGUCGGAUUAGCUAGUUGGCGGGGUAAAGGCCCACCAAGGCGACGAUCCGUAGCUGGUCUGAGAGGAUGAUCAGCCACACUGGAACUGGGACACGGUCCAGACUCCUACGGGAGGCAGCAGUGGGGAAUAUUGGACAAUGGGCGCAAGCCUGAUCCAGCCAUACCGCGUGGGUGAAGAAGGCCUUCGGGUUGUAAAGCCCUUUUGUUGGGAAAGAAAAGCAGCAGGUUAAUACCCCGCUGUUCUGACGGUACCCAAAGAAUAAGCACCGGCUAACUUCGUA
rnacentral:rRNA from 1 species